rnacentral:misc_RNA from 1 species
CGAGGUGUAUAACUGUACAUUGACCAAGAUCACAAGAACUCAAUUAACAGACAUAAGUAUUGCGAAUUCUAGACAUAGGUGUCACCCAAUCAAAGUUAGGUUACAAUGUGAAAAUGAAAAAAAGUAAUGAAUUUCUAAUAGAAUAAUAAGGGCAGAAAACAAUAGGAAACUUAAGAUUUUUUACAUAGCUCAUUAAUAUUAAAAUGUAAAUGGAAAAAUAAAAAAGCAUGGUAGCAAAAUGAAUUUCUCAAUUUCAGCCAGUCAGUAAAGUCAACGACAGGAAAGCGCAGGGCAAGAAAGAUCUAGAAGCUUCUCCAACUGGUGGACAGCAAGGCACUAUUCAGUUAGCUGAGAGUACGAGGGGCAUGUGAGGCAGCAGCUCCAAGCUCAUAUAAUUGAGUAGAAGUCUGAAAGGUGGUAUGACUAGAGAAUUUGUAUUUCUUUCCAGCUUUCAUACCUUGCAGGCAGUUGGUAUGACUGCUGGGUUAAGUGAGGCAUUUCUGGGUUACUAUUCCAGAGCCUCUUGAAACCCACGUGCAAUUUUGAAUCUCUGAAUAAAACUCACUUCUCUGCAACUAUUCAUUUUCAGUCUAUCAUCCAUCUCUUUUUGGUUCCUUAUUCCAUC